GACGAACGCUGGCGGCGUGCUUAACACAUGCAAGUCGAACGGAAAGGCCCUGCUUUUGUGGGGUGCUCGAGUGGCGAACGGGUGAGUAACACGUGAGUAACCUGCCCUUGACUUUGGGAUAACUUCAGGAAACUGGGGCUAAUACCGGAUAGGAGCUCCUGCUGCAUGGUGGGGGUUGGAAAGUUUCGGCGGUUGGGGAUGGACUCGCGGCUUAUCAGCUUGUUGGUGGGGUAGUGGCUUACCAAGGCUUUGACGGGUAGCCGGCCUGGGAGGGUGCCCGGGCGCGGGGUGCGGGGGGUACGGCCCGGAGCGCUGGGGGAGGACGCGUGGGGGAAGGUGGGACGGUGGAGGGAACCGGGGGCGGCGGCGGCGGGGGGGGGGCUGCGGGCCUGCGUGUUGUCGACGGCUGCCGCGGGUGAGGAAGGGGGGGGGCAGGGAAGGGGAAAGGAAGCGCGGGUUACGUCCGGGCAAGGAGGGGCGGUAUACUCGGAAGCGCCCACGUCUGACC
rnacentral:rRNA from 1 species